rnacentral:rRNA from 1 species
UGGGGAAUUUUGGACAAUGGGGGAAACCCUGAUCCAGCCAUCCCGCGUGUGCGAUGAAGGCCUUCGGGUUGUAAAGCACUUUUGGCAGGAAAGAAACGUCGCGGGUUAAUACCCCGCGAAACUGACGGUACCUGCAGAAUAAGCACCGGCUAACUACGUGCCAGCAGCCGCGGUAAUACGUAGGGUGUAAGCGUUAAUCGGAAUUACUGGGCGUAAAGCGUGCGCAGGCGGUUCGGAAAGAAAGAUGUGAAAUCCCAGAGCUUAACUUUGGAACUGCAUUUUUAACUACCGGGCUAGAGUGUGUCAGAGGGAGGUGGAAUUCCGCGUGUAGCAGUGAAAUGCGUAGAUAUGCGGAGGAACACCGAUGGCGAAGGCAGCCUCCUGGGAUAACACUGACGCUCAUGCACGAAAGCGUGGGGAGCAAACAGGAUUAGAUACCCUGGUAGUCCACGCCCUAAACGAUGUCAACUAGCUGUUGGGGCCUUCGGGCCUUGGUAGCGCAGCUAACGCGUGAAGUUGACCGCCUGGGGAGUACGGUCGCAAGAUU